UUCUAGGGUUGGGUGUGGUGCAUUUAUGAGGAUUAGGAGGCAUGAUGAUGGAAGGUGGAUUGUUGAUCGUUAACAACUAGAGCAUAACCAUGAGCUUGAGAUGCAAAUGAAAGCCAACAGAGGUUCAGCUUCUAGGAAACUUUUAGAUGAGAUUAAUGAAACAUCGGAAAAACUAGACAUUGCUAAAAAGCACAAUGGGAGCCUCGUAAAGAAACAUCGUGCGAACAACAUAGGAAGUGAUUGGUAUACCGUGCUUCAUAAUUACUUUCAGAACUGACAGGCUGAGGACAUCGGAUUCUUUUAUGCUGUCGAUGUACAGAUGGGUUGCUGUAGAAGUCUUUUUUGGGCUGAUGGCAGAUCUAGGUUUUCCUGCAGUCAGUUUGGUGAUGCCAUCAUUUUUUAUACCUCCUAUAAGCAAAACAAUUAUGUGGUGCCAUUUGCUACUUUUGUUGGUGUUAAUCACCACAAGCAGCCGGUUCUUCUUGGAUGUGCUCUAGUUGAUAAUGAAUUGAAGGAGUCCUUCAUAUGGUUAUUUGAGACAUGGCUCAGGGCAAUGGCUGGGUGCCAUCCCAAUUCGAUAAUAGCUGAUCAUGAUGAUUCCAUUCUGCAAGCAAUUGCACAAGUUUUUCCUUCAAGUGAUCAUCGAUUCUCAAUGUAGCAAAUUAAGACAAAAGAACGUGAGCAUUUGAGUCCAUUGAGUAGUGAUUGUAAAUAUGAAUAUGAGAAAUGUGUUUAUCAAAGUCAUACAGUUGGUGAAUUUGAUGCCGCAUGGGAUGCUCUUCUCAGCAAAUAUAGCCUGAGGGAAGCUUGGCUGAAGGAAAUGUAUGAAAAGCGUGAAAACUGGGUUCCACUGUACUUACGUGGAACAUUUUUUGCUGGAAUUCCUAUUGAUGGUCUAGAUGCCUUUUUUGAUCCAUAUUUAAAUUCUCAAACGUCACUUGAAGAAUUUGUCGUGAGAUAUGAGCAAUGUUUGGAGCAACGUCGUGGCAAUGAAAGGAAAGAAGAUUAUAAUUCAUUCAACUUGCAAGCAUAUUUGCAGACAAAUGAACCUAUGGAAGAGCAAUGUAGGAGGCUUUAUACCCUUUCUGUUUUCAAAGUUUUCCAGAGGGAACUUUUACAAAGCUACAGUUAUCUGGGUGCCAAGAUUCACGAACAAGGGGCCAUCUGCAGAUAUUUGAUCUGUAAGUGUGGCAAUGAGAAUGAGAAACAUAUUGUUACCUUUUGUUCAUCCAAUCUCGAUGUGAGUUUGUGGCUGUCAAAUAUUUGAAUCAGAGGGUGUAUUGUGUAGAUAUGCUUUGAGAUUGUUCCAGAUUCUAGAUAUUAGGGAGCUUCCAUCUCGCUACAUCUUACAUAGGUGGACGAGGAGUGCUGAGUAUUUUACUGUAUGUGAUUUUGAAUCAGGAGGUAGCUCCCAUGAAAUUAAGGCUAAGAUGGUCUGGAGUCUUCGUGAAAUUGCUGCCAAAUAUGUAGAGUUUGGUGCCACAUCUUUUGAGAAAUACAAACUUGCUUAUGAAAUUAUGCAUGAGGGUGGGAGGAAACUUUGCUGACAGAGGUAAGAAUAGGAUAAUUUUGUAGUUUGGAGUGCAUCUAUAGUUUCUUUUCCAGCAGGCCUGACUUUUGUAACUAGAGGGCAUCAACUUGUUUUAUACGAGGCUAGGGGUAAGGGAGGCGAUAAAUUGAGAAGAGUGAACGAAGAACUAUGCUUAAAAAUAGUACCUUCAGUUUCAAAAGGCAAAUUUCAAAAAUAAUGUCUAGCGGGGGGAAGCCAUCACAAGCUCCCUGACCGUAUGUCCUUGAGAAGCUGACCUGAUAUUUGAAGAACCUGUAGACCUGUGCUCUGGUGUAAUUUCCUCCAGAAGAUAGGGGUAAGGGAAUAAAUUGAAGAGAGCGAAUGAAGAACUAUGCUUAAAAUUUCCUUGGUUGUACCGUCAGUUUCCAAAGGCAAAUCUCAGCAGCAGUGGGAAGCCACCACAAGCCCCCUGAAUGAGUGUCUUUGAGAAGCUGACCUGAUAUUUGGAGAACGCGAAGACCUAUGCUGAUGUAAUUUGCCAUCGACUGAGUGUUUUGAGAAGCUGAUAUGAUAUUCGAAGAACCUCUAGAUCUGUGCUGGUUUAAUUUCCUCCAAGGUAUCCUCUCUCAUAGUGAAGUUAAUGAUAUACAUGAAUUGUUGUGAUUUGCAUUUCAAUUUUUCCUCACCCUGAAUAAUCUGACAUGAACAAAGAUGGAAGAGUGGAGUUCAUCUAAUAGAAAUGUCUGAUUCAAUAGUCAAUCACACUCUAGCACCUCAGUUGCACUUGCAGAAACUUACUCAGUGGAUGUGAUUUUCUAUUUGGUAAUGAUUUUUCCAGCAAUAUUUGGAAAUGCCAUAUUACAUUCCAUGAUGUGGCUGAUUUCUUGUUUCGUGUUUUGUAUUUCAUCUUAUUUCUUGGCCGUACAUUUGGUUUCCCUAUGCAGCUUUAAUUGGACGUGUCGUAGCCAACAAACUUCUAUUAUUCAACUAUGUUGAAAAGUUCCACUAUAUUGGAGUGCGUUGAAUAACUUUUAUAGUACAGAUUUUAGUACAAAGAGCGUUACUGAUGAAGACUACUCGUACAGAUUUUAGUUCAACUACUCAUGCAAAAUGGAAUAUCUCACAGAGGUAUAGUAGAAACUCUCUUUCGUUUGCGUGAUACUGGCUCAUGAAGCAGCAUAAUUUAUUCUUUAAAAUGCACGAGCAGUUCUUUAAUGGAUAUCUGUCCAUUAGCACUUAAAUAUAUGAGAAAACUAGGGGAAUCACCACUGGACUGGCAGAUAUAUUUGUCUUGAUGGCAACAGAAAUGAGCUUCCUCUUGUUAUAGCAAGUUAGGCUACUCUCGCUGGUAGAAACCAUGAGGGAAUAUUUGGCAAGGGACAAAGUGGCGUAUAUAGCUAGCUUAGAGUUGAACUUGCUUGUGGGCAGAUAAGUAGCUCCGGACUGCCAUUGAUAUGUAGCUUAGACUACCAAGGCUGAAGGAACACUUUGGUAUGGUAUGAUAUAUUGACAUUGUCUCCUGAUGCCUCGACUUGAAACCUUGAGCUUGAAUAUCAUUUGAGAUCUGAACAUGCCUAGUGCUCUGUUAAUGAAGAUUGCAGGCACAACCAUAGUACCUGGAGAAGGAUUUGCACGUUCUCAUGCAUCAGGUAUGAUUGUACAUUCCUUUCCGAUGCCAAUCGAGACUACUGCAUUAUUUUCAUCUUUGUACACUAAGAUGAUCUACUGCAUAAUUGAUGAUUAAAAUAACUUGUAUCUAAAGAAAAACAUGUACUCUCUCCCAAUA